rnacentral:lncRNA from 1 species
UCAGGAAUGGGGACAGAGGGGUGCUGUCCUUCUUGAUGUUAACAGUUCAGAGGGAGGGCUCCCUGGUUGUUAAGAAAGACAUUCUUGGACCUCAAAGCUGGCAAAAGACCUAUCUAGUUUUCACAAAGGACUUAUAUACAUUUCAAAGAGGGCAGAAAGCCUCUGAAAUCACAAAUUUCCUAAAGUAAAUGCUGUAAGUAAAAGGAUGGGAAGGGACUUUCUUCCUCUAUUUUCAACAGGGACAAUAAACUUCUUACCUUUUUUUUUGCCCUUACAGUGGACUUUGGUUGUGUUUUGUCCCAUGGGUGUUGUUCAGCUGGCUGUUGGCUGAUUGAUCUAGGAGAGUUUUAGCUGGAAAGGCUUUGCUAGACUGAGCAUGUCCUUCCUGUGUCAGAGGCCAAGGCAAAGGCACAAGCAGUUUCUAGCCUCUGCUAGUCACAUUCCCUGAACUCUCAGUGGCUGAGUCAAGGUGCAUGAUGGAACCCAGAGGCAGAGUGUGAAGGCACUAAAAAUAUGUGGCAGAAGCUGAGAUAGAUGUAAAGGAGGCUGAAGGAUUAGGGAUAUGUUCAUCGUCAGACUAUCACAGAUGGGGCCAAAUAUGAAUUAGUUCAGGAUUUGAGUUUGAAACAUCUGUGAGGAAUUCUGGCAGAGCUAACCCCCAGGGAUGUGGAUAUUAGGGAGAUAGCUCAGGAAGUAGGUAGGGUUUUCGAUGGUGGAAGCAGAUGCCCCGGAGCGUGUGUGAGGUGAGAAGAGCAGAGAAGGAUGUAACCUGGGACCAAAUUCCUCUUUCUGUCACUAGGGGUAAUGGACAUGCCACUCUCAUGGUUGGAGAGAAGAGCCCUGCCGUCUGUGCCCAAUGCAGGACCCCAUGCUCCUUCCUUCUGUUCUCUAUGGCAGGGCCACUGCUUUGCUCCCUAGGGAGCCCCCAGAAUGCAUGCUGCCCCUGGAGUUAUGCACAGGAAGACGCUGAUGGCAUCCCCGGGUUCUGGAAGGCCUCCCUGUGCUCUCCACCUUCUCUCUUGCAGGCGUGGGCUUUGUCCCCAAAGUACACGUCACUGGGCCAGAGAGGGACAGGGUUUCAGUGCACAGCCUUGGAGUGGCUCCCAAAGCCCCACGUGCAGUGGAGGUCCCUCAGUAGGGAGAAGUUCCUGGCAUUCUCGGAGACCCAUGCCCAAGAUGCUAAAGCGGUGUUCAGUGUGGAGGCUGCCUGGUGGUGAGUGACAGGUCUCCAGGCAAUACGACCUGCUCAGUGCUUAGCCUCAUCUGACCUGCCCACCAUAUUGCCAGCUGUUUUGCCUUCAAUGCAACUAGUUCUCAGUCAGCACCUGGAAGCCACAAACCAGGUAUACUUAUGUUGAAACCUUGCCGUUGUACUUCACCAUUCUGCUCUUUGCAGCUUCAUUCCCCCUUUCUGCUUUUUGUUUUAAUUAUUUUUAGUUAUGCCAUUUUCUCCUCUGUUGGCUUUAACAAUAUCUAGAUCAUGUUUCUUGAUUUCUCUAUUAAUUAUAGUAUUUUUAUUAUUUGUUGGCUACCCUUGAGAUUCAGCUUUAUUUCUUUCCUUUUUUUUCUUUUUCUUUUCUUUCUUUCUUUUUUUUUUUUUUGUAAAUUAAACUGGGUCCUGAGCUCCACCAGGAGAGGGUCCAAUGAAUCUGUGCUGAGCUGACAUUAAUAUUUUCUUCAGCAGGCCAGGAAGGAGUCAGUCCUGCACAAAUCUGAACAUAUGCAGCCUGGCAAAGGGCACAGGAGUGCAGAUGCUGGGAGGCAGAAGUUGGUGUUGUCAGAGUGGAGGUUAGAAAGGAGGCUAGGAAGGCUGGAGAGAGUUGGGGAGGAGAGCAGAGAGGGAGAAGGAGGAGGGCCAGGGCCUGGGGCAGGAUGACAUUUUCAGCACUCUGCUACUAGUGCUGUAUGACCUUAUUUCCCCACACUUAGUGGCUUGACCUACAAACACUUACUGUCUCACAGUCCCAGGGAACCAGGAAUCCAGCAGCACUCAGCUGGGGGCUCCUACCAGAGUCUCUCAGGAGUUUGGGGCUGUUGUCAGCACCGAGGCAGGACUUGCUUCACUCAGAACCUGAGCUCACUUAGGGGUGUUAGCAGGGUUCAGUCGACAUCAAAGGCCUGAGUUCUUCUCUUCUGUUGUUGUCUCUCAGUGCUAGACCACAUGCAUGUGUCUGUGUCAUGACUCAACAUAGAGGCCUGUUCCCCAGUGUGAGGAUCUGAGAGAGAACACAGGUCAGAGUGAGCACGUGGCUGGGCACUGAGAUUUUAUAACCAAACCUUGGAAGGGGCUUUGGGUCCUGUUGCCAUCUUCUGUAGAAUAGAAGUGAAUCACUAAGUCUAGGCCACACUCCAGAGGAGGGAGUUCCACAAGGACAUGUAUACAGGAGGUGGGGAUCUCAAGGAGCCACUGAGGGGAAAAGAUGAGGACCCUGACAGGGUCAGUGCCUUUUCCAGAAUCACAGGGACUGGUCAAAAGGCAGAACCAAGCAUGAAUCUAGCUCCAUGUCCUUAAAGUUGGGGUUCUGGCUGCACCCAGGCUUUCUGAGGGGGCUCUGGAAAAGGUUGUGUUAUUGUACCUGUACAGACAUGGAGAUGGUGUGGGGGUGAGGGUGAACAGGAGGGUGACAGGAGGCAUUCCAACACAUUCUUGUCUGAGGAGGACCCCAGGUCAGGGCAACACACUGAGUGCACCCCUGUCCACAUUGCACCCAGUGGAGAGGGAGAGAAUGGCAGAGCCUAGAGGUAAGGGUGGGUUCUGACCUUCUAGGCCAAAGCUCCAAUCCAUUCUGUCUGGUUUGCUUUGGAAAUUAGCCUAUGAUCUUGGGAAGCUUUUGCCCAUCCUUCCCAUCUUCUGGGCCUCCAGAAUGUGAACACUGGUACACACACACACACACACACACACACACCCCAGUAAGGACGGUGGGGUGGGAUCUGAGGAGCUGCAGGUUCAGAGGUGGUGAAGAGACAACGAAAAUAUGGCUGGAAGCACAUCCUAUGUGUGACACUACUCCUCCAAUUUCAUAGGUAUCAUCUGAAAUAUGCCUGAGGACAUCCCGAGGAAGUACAUGCUAGAAUAAUCUCCAUUGCACAGGAAGGACACAGACCAUCCCUAAGAGGCAUAAUGGCUUAUCCAGGGUCAAAAUCAGGUAAGAAUGAAGAUUUGGGUCUGAACCUAGAUGUGUCUCAAAGGUGGGACCCGGAUGCACCCAGACCUUCCCAGGGGACUGUAGAGAGUAGUGCAUUGGUGUAACUGUGUACAGAUGAGACAUAUCAUGGAGAAAGGGGGUGAGAAGCCAGCAGCCCAGGGCUCUAUUUGCAUAGGUGUUAUCCCUGGAGGGGACUCGGGUAGGUGAUCCUAGGCAGUGAAGUUACUGCCUUGACAACAGACCCCAAGAGAACUUGGAAUCCCCAUAACCAGGCACCCAAAUUCUAGUAUAGUCCCACACCAGGCUCACUUGGCUGGAGACACUUGAUAGUAAAAAAUGUUUUCUUGCUGUUCUUUCUUUCUGGAGCUCUGGCUUCCAGAGACCCCAGUGGGGAAGAUGUUUCAGAUGCUGUGGAUGUUGGCUCAACCCUUGCUCCCAAUGCCUCAGGCUGUUUUUCUGAAGGCCCCGUAAAGUAGUAAUACAGAGCAGCCUAGGGAAGGCCAGUUCAGCUCAGGCCACCUGUUUGAGCCAUCCCUGGGCAGCCCCAUUCCCUCCUCUUCAGUUUCAGGGAAAGAGGGACAUGUGAGGAGGUCCUGCCCGGGGCUAGAGAAGGUUGGAGGGCAGUGGAUAACCUGGUGACCCCAUCAUGUCCACACCAAUGUCAUGGUGGGUAGGGUGGAAAAGGGAUUCCUGAGGUGCUUCUUUCCUGUGCAAGGGUUAAUCCAAGGUCCUUGCGCAUGUAUCUUUUUCCUCCUUGGUGGAAGUCUGUGCACACUGUGGUGUAGUGUGUCUGGAAUGGAGUCACAUGGGUCUGAGGGCCAGUAAAGGCAGCCAGUCAGGACUCUGAGGCCUCCUGCCUAUCUGCUGCACUGUCUUUACAGAACUGCACACCAGAGAUGGGGCAGGAGUUGAGUGAUGAGAUCCUCUGCUCAACUUCCGUGAAGGACAGGAAUAUGCCCCACAACACCAACAGGAUGCAGCACCGAACCGGCUCAGGGGGAGUGCAGAUACCAGGGAGACCCAACACCCAGGGCCCAGAUGCAGCAACAAGAUCCCAGGGCCCAGAAGCCACACUGCUAGUCCCCUGAGCCCCCUUGUAGACUUCUGCUCCCAGAUGAAUCUGGAUCCCCAAAUCCUGCUCAAAUUUGCCUUCACGGCCCAGCCCCUGCCAUGGCCAGAUGCAAAGUCACUGUCCACUUAUUUGUAGGAAUAUCAGAAAAGAGACCUGAAGUCAUUUCACAUCCCAUCUGGUCUAGAGUAUUUUUUCACUGUUGUAUGUAUUUUCCUAACUCCUGUUCUCAGGUGUCCCUGUUGGCCUGACCAUCCUUGCACAACUUCUCCAAAUCUGACACAUGAUCAUCAUGAGUGGGGAGAUUUUUGCCAGAAGGGACAUGGGGCUCAUGGUAUUUUGUCUGCUGCUCUGCAGUUUGGUUGCCAAGGAACACAUCCCUGAGGCUCCUCCAGGUCAGGAGUAGGGGCCUGUCUGGGCUAUACAACAUUCCAGAAGGGAGAUGGGUUCCCACACCCAUUUAGCUCUUCACUGAUGUGGGACUUUGACAUGAUUCCCUUUUGUUGCCAUGUUACGGUGCUCACUGGACAUCCUACAUGACCUAUUACCCUAAUCCCUCUAACCCCAGGAAAUGCCUCUGCCUUCUCUUCUCUAGAAUGGGCUGUGUUGUCAGAAAUCACACGGAUGAUGCUGUUGAUGCAGGGAGGUGCUGUCAAUACUCAGCUAACAAUCUGACCUGAAAUACUCACAUGUUCAGUCAAUAUCCACCUCAAAUUCUAGUUUGAAUGCCAAAAUCCUUUUUCCUACUGUGGGUACCUAUGUUUCAGUCUUGCCACAAGCCACUGAAGGCUUGGGGAUUUGUUCUGCAUUCUGUCCCCUAACCCUCCUGGUGGCCAGUGUGCUGCCUGACUCCGUGUCCCUCCUCUGUUCCUCCUCAGGGUAAAAAUGCCUCAACCGUGAAUAAGAAUGAGACCAGUGUGGUGUGGACCAUCCAGGCAGGCUUGCUGGAUAAGCAAGUGUAGCAUCCUGUGCCUGUCUUCCUGGGCAGAGACCGCUGCCCCCCCGCCCCCAUGUCUCCAUGUUCCUGGACAUGUACAGAACUUUUCCACUACUGAAAAGGUGCUGGAUCUGUUGAUUCCAAGGUGAGCACCCUGCCUCUCCACAGCCCCACUGAAUGUGGCCACUUACAGGCUUUGAGUCUUGGGAAUGUCCCCAAACCUCCCCAAGUCUCAGUCUGUUCCUCAGAUGGGGGCAGAGUUAUUAUAGGGACCCAGUGGGGCCCUGCAGGGAAAGUGCACCUGACAUUGUGGAACGGUCUGCUGGCAGGGCUGUGGCUGUGCUGGGUUAUUAUUGUCCUCUUCCCCAUGAUGACGUUUCUGCCUCAUCUGUCACUGUCACCAGGUCUUGAGCCGGGCCAUUUUCCCAUUUGAAAAGGAGAUUUGAGGCUCCAUCUGGGGGUCUGAAUCCUGGCUGAGACCAGAGCAGGGAUCCCUGGGGGUGAGCAGGUGGCCCCAGGCCCACUCAGAUAUCUGUGAUGGUGCUAGUUGAGGCCCAUUCAUUUAUCAAACAUACAGGAAGCUCCACCAGAUGCAGACACUUCUUUAGGAGCUGACUGUCAGCCAAGGCACAGAGCAGACAACACCCUGCCCUCUAGGGCUCCAUUCUACACAGGGGUCAGUGACACUACGUAUGACAAGAGGUAGCAUGCACAGGACAGGUGAUAUGAUGUCCUCCUGGCCUCCUGUAGGUAUGGAUGCAUCCUUCCUGAAAUGGGAUGAAGAUGGCAGGCCCCUGGAGCAGAAGAAAAUGUGAGUGGGCUUUAGACAAUGCAGGAGGGUCUUCCCCCUCCAAGAGGGCAGCGGGGGGGUGGGGCGGUGAGUUGGAAGGGCUCUGGACCCUGCAUCCCACACAUCUGCGAUUCCUUUGAGCGGGCAAAGGUCUGAGUGCUUCUCCUGGACGAGGAGAAAGGGGUUCUAGAGAGCCAUAGAUGAGGUGUGGGCACAGUGGGACAGCAGAGGGGGCCAGAGGACAGAGUCACCUCCUAAGAGAGUCCAACCCCAUCCUUUCCCACUCCCAGUCCUGCCUCCACCCCCAUCCUGGGACCCAGAACAAAGGGUGUGGGGAGCAUCACACUCACCAAUCUGGUGGCACUUCAACGGUGGGUGCUCAGCAAGUGCUUCGGAGACCCAGUGAGGGCUCAGGGACCAGCUGUCCCCCACCUUGUGGGAGAUUAGGGUCAGUGGGGGACACCCACAUGGAUGCGAAGUGAAUAAAGCAACAUGUAGGCGGAGGAGGUAAAGUUUGAGGUAUUAGGAGGGUCCUGAGAAGCCCUUCUGAGAGACGGGUUCCUUUGUUUCCUAUUUGUUCCGAUAUUCAUGGAGCACUGGUGUAUGCAGUGAGGACAAUGAACCGAACAGAUGCCACCCCUCCUUGCCCACAUGGAGUUGAAUUCCAGCAGGAAGUAGGCAGGCAGACAGAGCAAAGAGUCCUUCUCCAAGAAGGACAGAGAUGGCCCCAUCAUUGGUUAAGGGCUCCCAUUCAAAAUGGCUUUUUGCCAGCCUCUCCUCAGUGACCAGGACUAUCUUAGCAGGAGUGCCAAAUCAGAGGUGGACGAGGAGUAGGACCAGCCUCUGGACAGCUGGAGGCAUAGGAGCCCAGGUUCCCACUGGGUGCCCUGAGACACCAGUCUUGAUUCUUCUGCCCACUUCUGUAUCUCCAGGGCCAUCUUCUCCAUUCUGGGCACCUGGAUGGACAACUCCUCUCAGGAUUUUUUCCAACCUGCAGAAUUUCCCUGCCUGAAGAUGCUGCUGGCAUAUGUGGGGCUUAACAUGCUGGGCUCACGUCUGGAGCACCGUACGUCUGUUUUCCUCUCAUAGCUGGGACACAUGGAGCCCAAUGAGCCAGAGGUUGAGGGUGAGGAGAACUCAGGGUGGGCGAUGUGAGCAUGUGGAGGGGACAGGGUAGGCCACACAGAACAAGUAUCCUUAAGCUGUGUUUGGCUCAGGAGCCGUGAGUAGUCUCAGAUAACUGUCCCCAUGGUCUGCCAUCUGGGGAGACUUCCUGGGGGUGGGUGCUUGGACUCAGAAGACAUUGACUGGUGGGAGAGGUUUCCUUUAUUUGGAAGAGACAUGGAAAGGCAAUCAUGGUGAUGAUACUUUCUCUUCUUGAAGCUAUAGCACCCGUUCCGGAGCAGGAUCCAGAACCAACUCAAGAGCUAGCCCCAGCUCCUGCUGUGGUGCCUGCUGCAGCUUCAGAGCCCGAGGUGGCUGAAGCCAUCACUCCUGCUGGAGCUCAGCAAUUAGGAAAAGCAGUGACCCUCCCUGCAGUGUCAGAGCCCGUGCAAGUGGUAGUUAUAGCUCUGAUUCACUGUCAGGAGCUGGAAGAACCACCUGCACCUUUGGCAGCCGUGGAGCAUGAGCAGGCUCCAGCCCCAGCUACUGGGGUUCCGGAAGGACUAGAACAACCACUUGCUACAGCUGAACAACCAGCCUCAGCUCCCAAGCAGUGGCUCAUGUCGGCUGCAGCCCCAAAGGAUGGCUUCCCCUCCCCUGUC